rnacentral:rRNA from 1 species
UACGAAGGGGGCUAGCGUUGCUCGGAAUCACUGGGCGUAAAGGGUGCGUAGGCGGGUCUUUUAAGUCAGGGGGUGAAAUCCUGGAGCUCAACUCCAGAACUGCCUUUGAUACUGAAGAUCUUGAGUUCGGGAGAGGUGAGUGGAACUGCGAGUGUAGAGGUGAAAUUCGUAGAUAUUGGGAGGAACACCAGUGGCGAAGGCGGCUCACUGGACCGGAACUGACGCUGAGGCGCGAAAGCGUGGGGAGCAAACGGG